GAGGAGUCUCGCAUCCUCAGGGUGAAGGUGGUUUCUGGCAUUGAUCUGGCCAAGAAGGACAUCUUUGGAGCCAGUGACCCAUAUGUGAAACUUUCCUUGUAUGUAGCAGAUGAGAACAGAGAACUUGCCCUUGUGCAGACAAAAACUAUCAAAAAGACACUGAACCCUAAAUGGAAUGAAGAGUUUUACUUCAGAGUGAACCCUACCAACCAUCGGCUCCUGUUCGAGGUGUUUGAUGAGAACAGGCUGACCAGAGACGACUUCCUGGGCCAGGUGGAUGUGCCGCUCAGUCACCUCCCGACUGAAGACCCAACCAUGGAGAGGCCGUACACAUUUAAGGAUUUCCUCCUCAGACCAAGAAGCCACAAAUCUCGUGUGAAGGGUUUCUUGAGGCUGAAGAUGGCAUAUAUGCCAAAAAAUGGUGGCCAAGAGGAGGAAAACAGUGAUCAGAGGGAUGACUCUGAGCACGGCUGGGACGUGGUGGACGCCGGCGACGCCGCCCCGCGGCAGGAGGAGCUGCCGCCGCCCGCGCUGCCGCCCGGCUGGGAGGAGAAGGUGGACAACCUGGGCCGCACCUACUACGUGAACCACAACAACAGGAGCACGCAGUGGCACCGGCCCAGCCUCGUUGAUGUGGGAUCUGAGUCAGAUAACAACAUCAGGCAGAUCAACCAAGAGGCAGCUCACCGGCGCUUCCGCUCGCGGCGCCACAUCAGCGAGGAUUUGGAGCCAGAGCCCGUGGAGAGCGGAGACAUUCCUGAGCCUUGGGAGACCAUUUCAGAGGAGGCAAGUGCCAGUGGGGACUCCUUGAGCUUGUCACUGCCACCUCCUCCUGCAUCUCCAGUGUCCCGGACCAGUCCUCAGGAGCUGUCUGAGGAGCUGAGCAGAAGACUGCAGGUCGCUCCUGAUUCCAAUGGGGAACAGCUCGGCUCUUUGAUUCAAAGAGAACCUUCCUCCCGGCUGAGGUCCUGCAGCGUGACCGACGCCGUCGCUGAGCAGUCCCAGUUAUCCCUGCAGAAUGGUCCCUCUAGGAGAGCUCGUUCUUCAACUGUCACAGGGGGAGAGGAGCCAACGCCGUCUGUGGCUUACGUGCACACCACGCCCGGGCUGCCCUCGGGCUGGGAGGAGCGCAAGGACGCCAAGGGCCGCACCUACUACGUGAACCACAACAACCGCACCACCACGUGGACACGGCCCAUCGUGCAGCUCGCUGAGGAUGGGAUGGUGGGGCCGGGCACGAGCAGCAGCAACCACCUGAGCGAGCCCCAGAUCCGGCGGCCCCGCAGCCUGAGCUCCCCCACGGUGACGCUGUCGGCGCCGCUCGAGGGCAUGAAGGACUCCCCGGUGCGCAGGGCGGUGAAGGACACUCUGUCCAACCCUCAGUCCCCGCAGCCGUCCCCCUACAACUCGCCCAAGCCCCAGCACAAGGGGGCCCAGAGCUUCCUGCCCCCGGGCUGGGAGAUGCGCAUCGCCCCCAACGGCCGCCCCUUCUUCAUCGACCACAACACCAAGACCACCACCUGGGAGGAUCCACGGCUGAAGUUUCCAGUGCAUUUGAGAUCCAAAGCAUCUCUGAACCCCAAUGACUUGGGCCCUCUUCCUCCCGGCUGGGAGGAAAGAAUACACCUGGAUGGAAGAACGUUUUAUAUAGACCAUAGAAGCCAGGUGUUGAUAUGUGGAGACAUUGAUACCAGAGACUUAGUGCCCUCCUACGAUAAUAAAAUUACCCAGUGGGAAGACCCCAGGCUGCAGAACCCGGCCAUCACAGGCCCAGCGGUGCCCUACUCCAGGGAGUUCAAGCAGAAAUACGACUACUUCCGCAAGAAGUUAAAGAAACCUGCUGACAUACCCAACAGAUUUGAGAUGAAAUUACACAGAAAUAACAUUUUUGAGGAGUCCUACAGAAGAAUCAUGUCUGUGAAGAGACCUGAUGUAUUAAAAGCCAGGCUGUGGAUUGAAUUUGAGUCAGAAAAAGGACUUGACUAUGGAGGUGUGGCCAGAGAAUGGUUUUUUCUCUUGUCCAAGGAGAUGUUUAACCCUUACUAUGGUCUCUUUGAAUACUCAGCAACGGACAACUAUACACUUCAGAUUAAUCCUAAUUCAGGUCUCUGUAACGAAGACCACCUGUCGUACUUCACCUUCAUUGGCCGGGUGGCCGGCCUGGCCGUGUACCACGGGAAGCUGCUGGACGGCUUCUUCAUCAGACCUUUCUACAAGAUGAUGCUGGGGAAGCCCAUAACCCUGAAAGACAUGGAGUCAGUGGAUAGCGAAUACUACAACUCUCUGAAGUGGAUCCUGGAAAAUGACCCUACGGAGCUGGAUCUCAUGUUUUGCAUAGAUGAGGAAAACUUUGGACAGACAUAUCAAGUGGACCUGAAGCCCAAUGGGUCCGAAAUCAUGGUAACAAAUGAAAACAAGCGGGAAUACAUUGACCUGGUCAUCCAGUGGCGAUUUGUCAACAGAGUGCAGAAACAAAUGAAUGCCUUUCUGGAGGGAUUCACAGAACUGCUUCCUAUCGAUCUGAUUAAAAUUUUUGAUGAAAAUGAACUGGAGUUACUGAUGUGUGGCCUCGGUGACGUCGAUGUCAAUGACUGGAGACAACACACCAUCUACAAAAAUGGUUACUGCCCAAAUCACCCUGUAAUCCAGUGGUUCUGGAAGGCUGUGCUGCUGAUGGACGCUGAGAAGCGGAUCCGGCUGCUGCAGUUCGUGACCGGGACGUCCCGCGUGCCUAUGAACGGAUUCGCUGAACUCUACGGUUCAAAUGGUCCUCAGCUGUUUACAAUAGAGCAGUGGGGAAGUCCUGAUAAGCUGCCCCGAGCUCACACCUGCUUUAACCGCCUAGACUUACCUCUGUAUGAAUCUUUUGAGGACCUGCGGGAGAAGCUCCUCAUGGCCGUGGAGAAUGCCCAAGGGUUUGAAGGGGUGGAUUAACUUUGCAGCAUCUGUUCCCUCUCCAAGCACGUUCUGCUGGCUUUGGCACUGCCCAAGGGACUCCAAGGGACUGUGGCACAGCAGUGUCCCAGCUCUGGGCUCGGGAGCGAUCCCGGCAGCGCGGGCCAGGCCCAGGCUGGGCUGGCACCUGGGGUGGCCCUGCUGCUGCUCCCGCAGCCGCUGCCAACUGAUCACAUUGCAGCAGGACUUACUCUAUUUAUGUUGUGCCUCUGCAGGCAAAGCCCUUAAUAAAUAUUUUACACAAUUUCUAAUGACAAUGAAUGGAAUUAAUCAUUUUACAGGUAUAGUGUUACAACUCAUGUUUACUUCUUAAUUGAUUUAGACAUUUUCAGAUUUUAUUUCAUUACAAUUAAAUAUCAUAUACUUGGAAAAAUGAGCAUAUUUCUUAAUUUCAUACCAGACUUUUUUUUUCAAAGCACAUUGAGUCUUGUGUUCUAAACCGUGAGGAGAGUAGGAGAAAGCUCUGCUGGAAGCUUUCUCUCUGCAGUAAGCACAUCACUGUUGUUCUGUAUCCAGAAGUAUGGGCUGGAUGUUGCAUUUUGUGUAAGUACUAGAAGAGUGUCAAGGCACAGCAGAGCCCUGACACAGCAUGUCCAGAUCUCUGUUCUGCCAGAACUGCCUCGUUACUGCCAAGCUGUACAUGUGCUAUGGAGCAUCUGGGCUGGAGUUGGCAUGAAGCCUUUGAGGAGAACGUGCUGAACCCUGUCAUUCUCUCUGUACAGUGAUUUGUUUUCCAUCCUUCCCUCAUUCCUGUUUGCAGUGGAGGCAUUCCAGAUGAAAUCUGGCACUCUGGAACACAGGUCUGUUCAUGCUCCUGUUUGUGUGCACUUGCUAAUGAACCUGAUUAACACCGGGGUUGUUUCUAACGGCGCCGACUGAAGGCACUUUCUGUACCACCGGGAGGGCAGACCUGCUUUGAGCAUAAACAUGGGAUUUUAUUCCUUCCCACUGCACAUGACCUUCUGGUGCAAGAUCUGUCCAUGGUGGAUUUGGCUGCUGCUAGAAAGAGAAAACCCAACCAGCUCUAGACCUGAGCCUGCAGACAUGGUCCUCAGCAAUUGUUUCUGUGAUUUCUUUUUUACUUACAAAGAUUUAUUUAAUAUACUGCUGUCUAAUCCAUUUUGUUACCUAUGACAUGUUGCAUGCCUAAUCUAUAAUGUCUGAGUUGCAUCUGUUUCGUGGCGGAUUAAAGGUGACAGAUGUGUGCUUGCCCCAGUGCAGUGACAUGGUGACAGCACUGCUGGAGCAGGGCUGGUUCCCCUGACCUGCAGCUCUGCCCCGGCCUGUUCCCCAGCACCCAGGCAAGGUGACACCACUCCCCAAAACAAACUUCCACCUCACUGCCACCGGAUUUUGAGCCCUAGCCUUAGCUGUGUGUCCAUCCCUGCAGAGCCUAGGAUACAGGGUCACAGCUGGGAAGAAGCUUCCUGCCGGCAACAUCCAGCAGUUAGAGUCCCAGCCCUGAGGAGGAUUAGGGUGGUACGCGAAUGCAGUUCAAGAUUCCUUCUCUGUUAAAUAUGCUGAUACUGAAUUUCUGACAUUCCUGCUUGAUCUUUUCCAUCUGAGGAGCAAACUGGAACGCAAGACAGUGGCUGGCAGCAGAGUAGACAGGAAUGCUGGACAGACUGCUUGGCUCCGGAGAUAGAACAGAUAAAUCCAGGAUUUUUGGUGAAGUCUGAUGCAUCCAUCAGAACAUAGGGACCGCUGGGCCUCGUGUGGCUCUGAAGCUGCAGUGCCGUCUCAGGCACAGAGGAAGGCUGGCACCAGCAGAGGCAGGUCAUGUUUAACAAUCCAGCGCUCCUCCUGCUGUGCCCUGUCCAUCCCUCUCCUACUAAUUCGCUGCCGACGCUGGACUAAAAAUUCCCCGAGCUCUGCUAAAGCCGGUGGGGUCUGGGGGCUCG